UACAGAGGUCUCAAGCGUUUGUUCGGAUUCAUUGGGCGUAAAGGGUGCGUAGGCGGCGCGGUAAGUCGGGUGUGAAAUCUUGGAGCUUAACUCCGAAACUGCAUUCGAUACUGGCGUGCUUGAGGACUGGAGAGGAGACUGGAAUUUACGGUGUAGCAGUGAAAUGCGUAGAUAUCGUAAGGAAGACCAGUGGCGAAGGCGGGUCUCUGGACAGUUCCUGACACUGAGACACGAAGGCCAGGGGAGCAAAACGGG
rnacentral:rRNA from 1 species